rnacentral:rRNA from 1 species
GCAUAUCUAUAAGCGGAUGGAAAAGAAACCCAACCGGGAUUGCCUCAGUAACGGCGAGUGAAGCGGCAAGAGCUCAAAUUUGAAAUCUGGCCCCUUUGGGGUCCGAGUUGUAAUUUGCAGAGGAUGCUUCGGGUGCGGUCCCCGUCUAAGUGCCCUGGAACGGGCCGUCAUAGAGGGUGAGAAUCCCGUCUGGGAUGGGCGGCCGCGCCCGUGUGAAGCUCCUUCGACGAGUCGAGUUGUUUGGGAAUGCAGCUCUAAGCGGGUGGUAAAUUUCAUCUAAAGCUAAAUACUGGCCGGAGACCGAUAGCGCACAAGUAGAGUGAUCGAAAGAUGAAAAGCACUUUGAAAAGAGAGUUAAACAGCACGUGAAAUUGUUGAAAGGGAAGCGUUGUCCACCAGACUCGCCCGGGGGGGUUCAGCCGGCACGUGUGCCGGUGUACUCCUCUCCGGGCGGGCCAGCAUCGGUUUGGGCGGCUGGUGAAAGGCCCCGGGAAUGUGCCACCCUUCGGGGUGCCUUAUAGCCCGGGGUGCCAUACAGCCAGCCUGGACCGAGGCCCGCGCUUCGGCGAGGAUGCUGGCGUAAUGGUGGUCAACGGCCCGUCUUGAAACACGGACCAAGGAGUCUAACAUCUAUGCGAGUGUUCGGGUGUCAAACCCGUCCGCGCAGUGAAAGCGAACGGAGGUGGGAGCCCCUCGGGGCGCACCAUCGACCGAUCCUGAUGUCUUCGGAUGGAUUUGAGUAAGAGCAUAGCUGUUGGGACCCGAAAGAUGGUGAACUAUGCCUGAAUAGGGCGAAGCCAGAGGAAACUCUGGUGGAGGCUCGCAGCGGUUCUGACGUGCAAAAUCGAUCGUCAAAUUUGGGUAUAGGGGCGAAAGACUAAUCGAAACCAUCUGGUAGCUGGCUCCUGCGAAG